rnacentral:rRNA from 1 species
GGGUCAGUAGGUUGGUCGUGCCACCGGUACGUACUGGUCUCACUUAUUCCUCCUUCCUGAAGAACCGUAAUGCCAUUAAUUUGGUGUUGCGGGGAAACAGGACUGUUACUUUGAAAAAAUUAGAGUGUUUAAAGCAAGCUAACGCUCGAAUACAUUAGCAUGGAAUAAUUAAAUAGGACUAUCGAUCCUAUUUUGUUGGUUUCUAGGAUUGACGUAAUGAUUAAUAGGAUAGUGG